GUGCUUCCUUUGGCAGCACAUAUACUAAAAUUGGAACGAUAUUAAAAAGAUUAGCAUGGCCCUGAACAAGG
rnacentral:snRNA from 1 species